CCAAACAGUGCUAUACUUAUUUGAUGGAAAAUACUACGUACAGGAAAUCAAUUAUAGUGACUACACGAUUCGACUUUUAGACUCGGGUAUUCAAGAGGAUCGUUAUUUUUCCAUCCCUCGUUAUUUUCUAGACUAUGCUAAUUUCAGUUCAAACAAUCUCCCAUAUGUCACAUAUUCUAAACACACUGAAUAUAAAUCAACUCGUGAGGGGGAGACCGACCAUCCACGAUUGUUAUCAGAUAUUGUCGUUUUCGUGAGCUGUGAAAAGCCAGUAAAUUCAUAUUAUUGGGACAUUUCUACUUGCUUUAAGCAUGGAGUGUAUUCUGCCAACUCCUUUUUAUCCCAUCCCCAUAUCAGAUACAUGUCUAUUUCCCCAGAGAAAUAUUUGUUUGAGUUAGCUACGGUAGACUAUUUGGAAGAUUUGUGCCAAGUAGACCAAAUGUCUCUUACAUCGGGGCAACCUCAAUACUCAAUAAAAAAUAUUUCCUGUACAUACGUCCACAAUGUAUUGCGGUAUGGUUUUAAGCUUUCAUGGCACAUAUUUCAUUGUGGAAGCUGUGGUAGGCGUUACGACUAUUGCUACCUCGAUGACGCGAACAAUGCAAGUUGCCAAAGUAAUAAAGGUGCGUAAAGAUCGAUGCGAGAGCAGAGACAUUACACUUUGAAUAUUUAUCUUACCAUUAAAUGGUGCGUAAGGAUUUCAAUGUUUAAUUUGAUCUUUCUCAGGAUGUCAAUGCUUAGUGUAAUGACUUGAUUUAGUUCUUGGUUUCCAAAUUUUGAUACUAUUAUUUUCUUUGUCAGAGCAGCACCGGGAUUCGGAUUCCUUGCAAGACUAGAGGGAAUAAUCAGAGAUAUUACCCAUACAAUAGCACCAAGACGCUUGACACCAAGAUUCCGGGAGAAUGUUAAAUAUCAACCCAAUGUGUGAAUAUGAAUGUGAAAUUGUCUUGUAAAGCUGCACCAUAAAUUAAGCUUGUCCUCAAGCAUUUAUGGUGUCUCCAAAAUAUCAGAAAUAUCUCCCAACAAGUGUCUCAAAUUGUCAAUAGUGGUGGCUGUAGAUUAGU